rnacentral:lncRNA from 1 species
GGGGGGGGGGGGGGGGGGGGGGGGGGGGGGGGGGGGGGGGGGGGGGGGGGGGGGGGGGGGGGGGGGGGGGGGGGGGGGGGGGGUGGAAGUUCCCGAGUUCCAGCGCCGCAAGAAUGGGAAGCGAGCGAAGCCAAAAUGCCCCCGGGGAGCGCGGCCCCGCUGGGGAGGCCCGGCACUUCCACAGCCCCCGCUCGCCGCGGCUCCCCCGCAGCCCAGCCCGCUCCUUCGGAGCCAGCCAGGGACCUCGGGGCGCUGCCAGGGCCUUUGGCAUCUGCGCAUCAGACGUGCGGGCUGACGAGUGUUGUCCCUUCCAGGAGCGAUGGCAAGAGGAGGAGUGUUGUCACCGCGAGGACGAGCGAUGGAUGGGGAUGCCUGCAACCCAUGGUUGAACUGGAGGUCGAGCUGGGGCCUUGCGAGAACGAAUGUGUUUGUGGACAAUAAGAAUGAAUUUAGCAGGGAUCAAUGUAAACAGAGGAAGCCGUCAUUUUUUAAAUAUUCCUUUACCCUCAGUUAUUAACUGAUGCAACUUGUGAAGCAAAGAUAAAAGUAUAUUUGAAAUUCUAUAGAAACUAGACAAAGAACUAUUUUUUUCCUAUACAUAAAACCCCCUGAAAUUCUCAACUAUCUAACUUUCAACAAAAUUGAAUUUGAACAACAUUUCUGUGCAGCUGAGGCUAACAUGAGUUGAGCAUUUUUAUACGUGUUUCCAAGGCCUGCAAGCUCAGUGUAGCAGCUCGAGCUUUGUGCUUGACAUGGUGAGAAAGAUUUGCUGCAAUCACCCUUCUGCUUUAUUGAAGAAAUGUUACCCUGAAAGGUUAAAGAAAGGAGGCUAAAAUAUGACUUACUUCCGUUGUCUUAUUAUAAAAAUUAUAUUUAUAUAGUAGAUGUCUAGAUGCAUUUUUUUAUAUACAAUUAUCACAUGUCCUAAAAAAAUCAUUCAAAUACUAAUCUAGAAUUUGUUAUCCUUAGGGUAAAUUAAAAUUUUGUAGGAUAGAUUUUUUUUAAAGCAAGACUGUAUGUACUAGAUUUGAUAAUUGUAUCUGUAGCUAUGAUCACUAUAUAUUUAAAAGUGUACAUGUAUCUCCCUUCCUCAGAUUUGUAACAAUAACCACUCUGUUUCAGCUUCAUUUUAAAUGCACACUUCAAAUAAUUGAAACAGAAAUGAAAUCAUAUUUAAUGUCUAAUAAAGAUUUUAAAAAUAAAUUUACUUGAGUCUUUUCUUAGCGAUGUAAAAUAUGCAUUGUAAUAUCUUUCAUAGGUGAUUCUCACAACAAAGGGCUACAUGAAUAAUGUGAUUAACAUUUUAAUUAGCCUUGAUGUUUACAUAAAAGAAAAUAUACUUACAUAUGACAUCACUGAAACUGUAAACCAAGCAACAGAGAAAUUUUGACAGUUAAGGAGUCUGAAAGUAGAGGAAAAACUCUCCUAGAUAUAUUGACCCUCCUUGUCCUUUUGGCAACUCAUAACUUUUCCUGUUCGAGUUCAAAAUACAGUUCACGGAAUCAAAAAGUUCUUGGUCUUUUGACAAUAAAAUAAGGAUUGUGUAUUUUAUUUAAUUUUUUUAGAUCACCAAGCAAAAUGAAAUCAAAGCCCCAGACUUGAGUUUGAGCACUGCAGUACUACAAGUAAUAUUUAAUAAACAGCUUUUAAAAACAUAUGUUCGACUUUCUUUUUACAGAUGAAAUCUGAUGGGGUUUUUUUGUUUAUGUGUGGCAAAACAUGAAAGUCGCACACAAGAGAAAAUGCCUAAUUAUUAUUGUUUGGUAAUACACGUUAGAAUGAGCCCUAAGAAUUCCUACAACAGUAACGAAUAUUCCAUUCUUUUUUCAGAGAUAUUUUAAA